UUUCGUUUACUCUACUCUAGUUUAACCUCACUUAACUAGAUAGAUCGAGAAAUAUUAAAUUACUAUUACUAUAUUAUUCAGGUUGAAAAAUGCCUUCUUCUAAGGUAAAAGGUUGCGAAGUCGAUUGGGGAAAAAUAAUGUGAAAAUGAAUUCUUUCCCAAAAGAAUCUGAACGACGGAAAGUGUGGAUUAAAAAUAUAGGGUUAAAACAAGAUCCAAACAAAUAUGCUGUUGUUUGUGAAGUAAGUUCUUCAAGUAAAAUUAAUUGAGUAUUUGCAUUUGAUGCAUUCUCUUUAUAAUAUUUAUAUCAUUAAAAAAUAUUGUAUUCAAUUUUUGAAUGUUUAGGAACACUACUUCUGACAUGUGGAAAAAAGUUGGCAAGAUGGCAGCAGAAAAUUAAAAUGCAAUGCUGUACCAACAAUAUUUAGAGAAGAAAGCGAAAGUAUUUAAUUAUUUAUAUUGGUUUUUUGUUUAUUCACCAAUUUAACACCUAUAGAUAUUUGUAUAACAAGAGAGCGAAGUGCACCUUUUCCUCCCAAGAAUAAAGUUUACUAGUUUACUACAGUAAUCAUUCAAGGGAGGAAAAGGCACUUCUCCCAUGUUAUACAUUUUUCCACCUCCCUCAAAUAAGUCAUUUUUCCAUUUUUAAAAUAUUUAUAUAACUGUUGAUUGAAUACAUGAAUCAUAAUUGAAUACAGGAAUUUAUGUAUUCAAUCAACAAUAGAACUAACAAAAUUUAUUAGACAACUAAAACUAACAAGUAGGUACAGUAUAACUAUCAAAUUAUUAAUGAAAAAUUUUUAAAUCAAAAUAACAAUUUACUGUUUUUACCAUUUUGCAACAUCUAUAAAUAAAAUUUAAAAUGUAUGGAUACUUACCUAAUACAAAAUAGAGUAAUAGUAUAGGGUGUCAAUAAGUUAUUUCAUCUAUGCUAUGACAUAGUAUGACGUCAACAUCACUUACUUUUACUCCCUAGGGAUUAAAAGUACUUUGUUUCCCUAGGGAGAAAAAAUAUGACUAUGCUCCCUACAAUGAGGCCAGGAAAUGUAUACUUUGGAUAGAGGUAGGUGGGAAAAUCUGUUUUAUUCAGUUAUUGUGAUUUGUUUCUUACAAUCAGUUUGUUCUAGCACGAGUUUCAAACGGUCUGAAACCAUUAGCGAAUAGUGGACCAGCACGAGUAGAGGGGAUAGCACUCGUAACUGUAUUAUGUUCUCUCACUGACCAACUGUUUGCUGACUAGUUCGACUGUUUGCUAGAACAAACCUAUUAUUCAAACAAAAUGUCCUCUACGUCAGACUGAUCAGAAUUUUAAAAAUGUGUCAUAUCAAUCAAAUCAAAAAAUUUAAAAAAUUGUUCCUUUAACCAUUUUUAGUGGAAAUAAUAACAGUACUUAUAUUGGAUCAGAGAGCCACCCAAUUCAUUGUUAAAGUAUGAUAAACUAAAAGUUAAACAAUGAGGCAUGCACUUCAUAUUAUAUUUAAUGAAAUAUAACCCACUGGUACUCAUACAAACUUGACGGCAAGCAAAUUCAACAAUUUUUUCCUCAUUUAUUAGUUUUUCACUACCGUUAAGUUUGGAAACAAGCGCUGUUGCCAAAUAAAAACAUAUACAGUCGGAAAAAUGAAAGAAUACCCAUGAACGAUCACAUCAAUCACAUAUUUUGUAUUUGCUGUUUUUUUUUUUCAUAAAUAAUAAAUGAGAGAGAUAGAUUAUUAAUAAUCUGAAUAAUAUGUGAUUGAUGUGAUCGUUCAUGGGUAUUCUUUCAUUUUUUCGACGGUAUGUAUUUACCACAGCAACUACAGGUGACACUGUUUCUCUUUGUCUUUAAGAGUGUGAAACAAAGAUAACUACAGUGGGAAAAAUAAAGAAUACCCAUGAACGAUCACAUCGAUCACUUAUUUUGUGUUUCCUAUCUUUUUCUAUAACAAACGUUUAUUAUUUAUAGAAAAAGACAACAAACAUAAAUUAAGUGAUUGAUGUGAUCGUUCAUGGGUAUUCUUUCAUUUUUCCAACUGUAUCUGUAAUAUACGCUGAGCUCAUAGGUAGAGGGGAUAAUUAAAAAAUCGUGAGAGCCAGUAGUGACAAGUCUGUAAACCUUUACUGGAAAUUUGACAUAAAUGUCAAAGUCAAUAAUUUAAAAUUGAAAUUAAAAACAUUAAUUAGAAAAAAUAUUAGUUGGUCAAAGCUGUGGUAUAUAUUUUUAUCUUAAGUAUACUUACGGUUUAAAUACUGAAUUAAGUUUUUUUAAUAUUUUGUAAUAUCUAAUUAUAAUUAGAUAUAAAUCAUCUAAGCGCCAUCUACACGAUAAUUGUGAAUGUAUCUGAAGUAAGAAAUUAAUAUUUCAUUAAGAGAAUGUUAAAACAGUUAGCAAAAUUUUUAAAAAAUCGAUUACAAUUUAAUUACUUUUUUGCGUUGUAAAUAUUAAGCGAUAAAAUUAAAUAAUAAAUUUAAAAAUUACUGGUGAAAGUUGAAUUAGUAAUCCGCUAGGAGCGACACCAGCGAAGCUCAGAGUGUAUAAGUGGGUGCAUUUGGACGACCAUAGCGGCUGACUGUCAGCAGAAAUCGGCUGGGUGGUUGUAUCCAGCUGUGAUAGGGAAAGCUUAGUAAAUCUCUCAGCAGCUGACUUCCAGCGGUGACGUCUGACAGCUACUGCUGGCUCAGCUGUCCAGCCGCUGUGGUCAUCCGAACGCACCCAGUGUCAGUCAUGUUUUCCUAUAGUAUAGAAGGCUUAGAUAGAAGGUUAUGUAAGAUUUUUGUUUGUUUAUUUUUUCUUCUUCUUUUGUGGCCUUUGGAAGCUGUGCCCAUUUAGCCAGCAACAUUUCUUAAAAUUAAUGCCUAACUAAACCUACCAUACAAGAAAACCAUUACGAACCUAAACGACCAAUCAAGGAUACGGAAGGGAAAGUAAAGUUAUUUAAAAAAUAAACCGUUGUUAAAAUAUAAACUAAACAAAUAAAAUAUAAAUUGAAAACAAUAAUUUGACAUUAUAAAUGUAACCUCCAAUAUUAUGACAGACGUCAGUUACCAUGACAUCAUAUAUUAUACUCGUCACUAAUUCUAGCCAAUGAAAUGCUUGCUGUAAUAGGAAUGGCAUAUCAAAAAAAUCUGACUAUUCUCUAUAUAUUUUUUCAAAUUUAGAAUAUGGCAACAAGGGGAAAGUUAUGUGCAUUCCUCAUUGUUUGACUUUUCCUAUAUCUUUAGUAUCAGGUCAUCAUACAAUACAAAUACUUCCUGCAAUGAUUGGAAGUAAUGCAGAACAAGAAUUGAAUUUGGAAUCGCCGAGAAAAAGGAUUGGUGUACAAAAUAAGAAAGUAUAUAAAGGACAACAAACAUCUUCCAUAAGCAAUCAAAAUUGUAUAACUGAAAUUCAGGAAAUAGAUUCUGCUCCACCUUUAGAAAAACUGUAAAUAGUAUUUAAGGCAACGAUUGUGAAUGAGUGAGAAGUCUAAUAAAGCCACGACGAGAUACUGUAUCAGAGCGUACGAUUUGGAGGUAUUUUUGAUUAGAUAAAUUUUGUAAAGUACAAUAUAAAUUAGAUUUGAUAAUGUGUAGUAUUUCCUAAUAAAUUAAAUACUAUUAAGUGUUUAUUGUUCGUGUAAGUUAGUGUGGUAAAUAAAUAAUAUGAAGUAAG
rnacentral:lncRNA from 1 species